rnacentral:rRNA from 1 species
UACAGAGGUCCCGAGCGUUGUUCGGAUUCAUUGGGCGUAAAGGGUGUGUAGGAGGUAGGGUAAGUCAGGUGUGAAAUCUCGCCGCUCAACGGCGAAACUGCACUUGAUACUGCUCUGCUAGAGGGCUGGAGGGGGUAGCGGAAUUCUCGGUGUAGCAGUGAAAUGCGUAGAUAUCGAGAGGAACACCGGUGGCGUAGGCGGCUACCUGGAAAGCACCUGACUCUGAAACACGAAAGCUAGGGGAGCAAAC